UGCUAUCUCCCACCGGAAAUCCCACGCUCGAAUGGGACGACGUCGUAGCACACGCUUUCAACUCCGGCACCUUCAUCCUCACUGAAAUAUUCACAAUCCCGUUCCUCUCUCCCCUGCGGUCUCUCAGUCUGUAACUCAAAAAAUGCAGGUAGCCCUCAGGCACAAACCCACCCACGAAAUCUGACACCGGAAUCUUCGCCGUUCCGAUUGUCCUGAGGCCGUAAGAAGUCUUGCAUUGAACCUCCACCGUCAAGGACCUCGCCUGCAUUGGCAAGUCGAGCACAAGCUUCUCGUUCCAUUUGGGGUAGGCGCCGCCUUCCGUGUCCGUGUCCGUGGUAAGAAACUGGCUGUCAUUUUCGGCGCGGACGGUAGCAGAGGCGUUUUUCUUGAUGGGUUUUCUAUCUAAUUGCAAGUUCUCGGCGGAUAUGACCGUGAUUUCUAGCUUCCGGGACGUUGCUGCCAUGGUUAUGAAAAGUGCACGUUAGGUGUUUGAUGAAUUGCUUGUGUUAAUGGUUAUUGUGAUGAGAAAUAGGGUGGGGGGGUGCUUUUGUAAGGGUGUUUGGAGGAAGGUUGUGAGGAAAGGAGUGUGAAACAGGGGCGUGGCUUCUGAGUUUCUUAAAAUUCCAAAUUUGGACUCAAACAAAGACGCGCCCCAACAAGGACGCGCUGAUUCUUUUAUACCAACGUCAAUCAGCCGUCAAAAACACUGUUAACUCAUGACGUGGUAUAUAACGUGGCAACAAAGAGAUCAACAAAUUAUUUAAAAAUAAUAGAUACAUUUAUAAAACAUGAUAAAUAUUUAUAAAAAAAUUUAAAAUUGAAAAAAAUAAAAAAAAUAAAAAAAAAAAACUCUCUCCACCUCUUUCUCUAUCAUUUCAUCCCCUCUCUCUCAAUUACCAAAACAUCAAUUAAAAAGCAUUGAAAAAAUACCUAACCAGCCCCCUCCUACCCCAUCUCCGACCAGCCACCACCCCUUCCACUCCACUACCAUACCAACCACGAAGACCCACCCCCUCUCUUUCAACUCAUUCGGUAAACUAUUAAUUCAUCAACAAGAUCACUACAACAUCAAGAAAAAAUUAAAACAGUAAUGCUCAUGGCAAAAUAUAUGUUCAGAAGUAUUUAUUAAUUGAUCACCACCACUAGCGAAAAAAGGUGAAUAAUUUGCAGAACCCAACCCACCUAGUAAUUUGUCCCAAAAAAAACCCACCCCAGCAACGAAACAAACACUCUCCCGUUCACAACCCAUCCCCUCCUCUGUCUCUGUUCCCUUUCUCUCUCUUCGAACAAACGUAGGUCGGGUUAGUUGCCGAGAGAAGAAAGAGAGUUAAAAAAUAAUAAUAAUAAUAAUUUUCAGGUUUUUUUUCAAAAUUUAAAUUGUUAAUCUAUCAUUUUAUUUUUAUCAGCUGAUGUGACACAAUAUGUUUGAUUUUUAGUGAGUCAUUGAUUGCCACAUUAUCAUUUAACAGAUAAUUUAAUAAUUUAAUUAUAUGAAAGUGAUAAAAAAAUAAAUAAAUAUUAGAUAGAAAAUUGAUAGGAGAAAAAACUUUAGGUAGCAAAGUCAGAAUUUUAGACAACUUUUCAAUUAGUAAAGUGAAAGUUACCUUUUUUUUGUUUUUUUGAAACCAAAUGGUAGUCUCAGACUCUCAGUUAAGAAUAAAGUGAAUCGAGCUAAACGAUGAGCCGCAACAUUGGCCUCACCAAACACAAAACAUAAAGAACAAUUGCGUAACUGCAAGGAUUUGGUAGUGUGUUGGGAAAAUUGUUGUAAGCAGUCGCCCGUGUACAUAUGGAUGAAUCUAACGUGUUGAUGCACUUAGGAUUCGCUUGCAUUAACGUGGGAUAGCCACUCGGCCAUGUGGCGGCUUGCUACUGAACCACUUGUGCUUCUGCGAAAGCUCUCUCCCUCUUCUAUAGUUAGCAGUGACACAAAGCAACGCCGUUCUCAAAGUCAUUGGAUAAUUAAGUCAAAUGUGGUCUGCCUUAUUCGACCGUUGUGGCUGCUGUUUGAAUGACGUUAACCCCACAGUUUCCCUAAAUUUCACGUCAUUGGUUUUUAUAGUAUUCCAUCGCAGUUGGAAUGCACGUUGGUUUUCUCGAACCUCAACGUUUAAAAGUAUUUUUUGCAUACUCUUUCUUUUGAUGAAUCUCAUCUUGACUGUUUUUGCAAAUAAUUUUUUUUUAUAGGUGGAGUGUUGUGAUUGGAGACGGAAAUAUUUGCUCUAACAUUGACUAUGACGUUAUGCCGCAUUGUAAAUGUGUUGUUCUUUCCAACAAAAAAAAGUGUUGUUUAAGCGUUAGAACUUAGAGAAAGAAAAAAGGGUAGACAUUUCCAUGCCAAUUUUCAAGAUUAGACGGCAGGAGAUAUGUAUUGACUGGUUUCCCAGAGUGUUUCGUCGUUUAUAAUACAAUAUAAUGUUGGACUAUUACUCUAAUUCAUUUGCAAUAGUUCUUUUCUUUUUUUAUUUGGAAGGGAUGCAUAAUUCAAAUUUGACGCAUCUUUUAAUAAUAUACUAUACGGAGAUAACUCAUAUUAUUCUUGAUUAUUAUCAUAAUACUCUAAUGAUUGAUAGUUCAUAGAAACAUGGUCUUGCUUGAUUAAUGAUGCGCCCAUGGUGAGCAAGCUCUGUAGGCUAGUUUAAGGCAGCGGGAGAAGAUGAUAUUGUUCCAUGUAGCUCUGGGUAUACAUACGAUAGUAGGAAAACUUGUGUGUAACCGAGGCUACUUCCGGUCAAUUAUAGACUAUCACAUGAAAAAGUUAUUUCGCGUGGUAUAACAUGAUUGGCCAGAAAUAGCGAAACAAUGUUAUUUUUAUUUCACACAAGUGUUUCUCGUAAGGUAGGCAAAACAUCUCUUUCACAUAAUUGAAAGAGAUUGUAAGUUAGAAAAAAAUAUAUAUAUAUUAUGAUACAUGUGGAGAAUAAAUGCGGUAAACAAUUCCUCAUCCAGCUAAUUAAAUUUUUGACAUACCCGUCAUCUGGAAAUAUGAACGUCAAUUGAUUGACAAUGCAAAAAUGAGUGUGGAUGUCAUUCAAAAGAAGAUGCAAAGAUUGUUUAAGUGCAUGAAUAAUAUAAAAAAUCAGGGAAUGUAAGUUGUAACAAUGAAUUAAAUUGUUGCAUAAAUUUUCAUGAACAUUGGAAGUUUGUCGUUCGACAAAGUUUACUCCAAUAUUUACGCACAAAUUUUUUGGUGAUUUGUGACUAAUAAACCAACUAGUCAAACCCUUUUUCUUCAAUAAUUUUUCUGAUACGCCCCGUACCAAACGGGAACUCCAGUCGCCACGCCACCGCCGCCAAAGCUGCUAUCUCCCACGGGAAAUCCCAUGCUCGAAUGAGACGACGUCGUAGCACAUGCUUUCAACUCUGGCACCUGCAUCCUCACCGAAAUAUUAACAAUCCCGUUUCUCUCUCCCCUGUUAUCUCUCAGUCUGUAACUCAAAAAAUGCAGGUAGCCCUCAGGCACAAACCCGCCCACGAAAUCCGACACCGGAAUCUUUGCCGUUCCGAUCGUCCUGACUCCGUAAGAAGUCUUGCAUUGAAUCUCCACCGUGAAGGACCUCGCAUGCAAUGGCAAGUCGAGCACAAGCUUCUCGUUC
rnacentral:lncRNA from 1 species